rnacentral:rRNA from 1 species
CCCUAUUAUUUUGGAAAGUUAAUAAUUUGUGUCUGAGUAGUAUUAGUUAUGUUCUUGAAACUUAAAGAAUUUGGCGGUAUCUUAUUCCAUCCAGAGGAAUCUGUCUCGUUAUCGAUAGUCCGCGUUGGACCUUGCUUAGUUGUUUUGGUUUGUAUACCGCCGUUUAUUGAUUAUCUUUUUAGGGUUUAUUAAUUUUCUGGUUUCUUUAUUUUGAUUUAUUUCAGGUCAAGGUGCAGCUUGUUUCUAAGUGGAAUGAUGGAUUACAUUGUUAUUUGUUUUUUGGAUUGUUGAUUUUAAUAUUGAUAUGAAAUUGGAUUUGGUUGUAAUGUUUUGUAGAUUGUCUUCAUGAUAAUUGGUUCUGAGAUAUGUACACAUCGCCCGUCGCUCUCGUUUAUUUGUUAAUGAGAUAAGUC